rnacentral:sRNA from 1 species
GCCAGGUGUGGUGGUGUAUACCUGUAGUCCAGCUACUUCAGAGGCUGAGACAGAAGGAUCCCUUGAGCCCAGGGGUUUGAGGCCAGCCUAGGCAACACAGAAAGACCUCAUCUCUU